ACGUAGGUGGCAAGCGUUGUCCGGAAUUAUUGGGCGUAAAGCGCGCGCAGGCGGUCUCUUAAGUCUGACGUGAAAUCUCGCGGCUCAACCGCGAGCGGUCAUUGGAAACUGGGGGACUUGAGUGCAGAAGAGGAAAGUGGAAUUCCACGUGUAGCGGUGAAAUGCGUAGAGAUGUGGAGGAACACCAGUGGCGAAGGCGACUUCCUGGCCUGUUCUUGACGCUGAGGCGCGAAAGCGCGGGGAGCGAACGGGA
rnacentral:rRNA from 1 species